rnacentral:lncRNA from 10 species
GCUGAGAUCACAGAGAUGCUGGCGCGGCUGACCCCUGGGGUGCAGGAACUGGCAGCGCCCCCCAUCCUGGGCCAGCAGGGGUAGGAUGGACAGGCAGCCAGGUGUCUGCCAGGGAGCUCAGUUUUCUUCUUCUCCAGGCACAUCAACUCUCACUUUGCCUUUGAAUUUCUGGCAGCAAGGACUGGAGAACCCACAGAACAGGAAUACCCCUGUCUCAACACUGAGUUCCCCCUUAGAAUAAUGGAGGGGUGGUAGGGGCCAGCCCCCAUGCGCUCCUUCCCAGGUGGAGAGAGGCAGAGCGGAAGACCUCCCCCACUCCAGCGCAGGCUGAAGCCUCUGUCACCUGAACCCUCACCUGGCCCUCCGCUUCCUCUCAGCACCCCAUCUCCUGGCCGCUUACCUCGCUCCAGACAACCUGAUCAAAGGCAAGAACCUGGGAGCCAUUAAUGAUCUCCUCCUCUCCUCCUCCGCCUCUCUCCCCUCUCCACCCCUUCCCCUGCUCUUCCUGCCAGGACAUAAAUAAGCAAUUCUCCCGGGCGGAACAGGCGUGGCAGAGGCAGAAGGACCCUUCUACAUCAGCUCCCUCAAGCUGAGACCCAGAGAGAUAGUGACUUUCUUAUGGCCACACAACAAAUUAGUGGCUGAGCUGGGACCAGGGUAAUAUUUAGAUCUUUGGAAGCCUAAACAAUGAAGAAAUUUUGUUU